AGUUUGAGGCCAGAGAGGGCAACUUAUUUUAUAAAAAUAAAAAGGGCUGGGGGUGUAAUUCAGUGGUAGAGCUCACUCAAGUUCAAUCCCCUGUAUUGCACACUUGCACAUGUGCACGCGCACACACACACACACACACACAAAAUCAAUGGAUUCAACCCAUUGAUUGAAAGAAACAGGAAUCUAUACAGGUAUAAAUAAAUAUAUGUAAAUAAAUAUAAGGACAUAUCUCUUCUUUAAAGUUGAAUGCCAACUAAUAGAUAGAUAUAAAUACAAUAAUAAAUAUAGGUCACCAUUUGGCAAUUAUUACAGCACAUAAUAAUGUACCAAUGGAUAGAGGUUCAAUGGAGAAUAGGAUACUAAGGUAGUUUCAGAAUGUUUCCCCUGAGAAUACUUGUUAUUUACAAAGAUAAAAAGGGUGACUUAUAGUGGAAGAAGCUGGCAGACACUAUCUUGACCAAGGUUAUCAUCUAUGGUAGGAUGGGUUGACAUCAUAUGUCUCCUGAUAUAAGACGCUGAGAAGACCACAGCAUAAUUUUUGUGUGCAUGGUAUUUCUGCUACAAAUUUAUAAGUCUGGACCCAAGGGCACACCAGACAGACCCAGGCUGAGGAACAUCCUACAAAAUAAAACACCAUACUCUAAAAUUAUAAUGGUCAUGAAAGACAUGAUAGGAAUAAAGAAGUGUUCUGUAUUGAAACUGAUUAAAGAGAUGUGAUAAAUAAAUGUAAUAGAUGAUCCUGAGUUUGGACUUGGAGUGGAAAGGAAAAGGAGAUAUUGCACAUUUGUGAAGUUUGAAUGGAAUCUGUGAAUUGGAUGGUGGUGUUGUUUCAAGAUUAAUUUCCUGGUUGGUAAGGUUGCAUGAAAAUUAUAGAAUAUUGUACUUGUUUGGAGGAAAUACAUUCUGAAAUAAUUAGGAAUGAAAUAGCAUCAUGUUUGAGAUUUUCUCUCAAAUUGAUCAGGAAAAAAAUGAGAACCAAUACGAGCAUAGGUAAAUAUUAAUAAUUG
rnacentral:lncRNA from 1 species